UACGAAGGGGGCUAGCGUUGUUCGGAAUCACUGGGCGUAAAGCGCACGCAGGCGGAUCGAUAAGUCAGGGGUGAAAUCCCGGAGCUCAACUUCGGAAUUGCCUUUGAUACUGUCUGUCUUGAGUCCGGGAGAGGUGAGUGGAAUUCCUAGUGUAGAGGUGAAAUUCGUAGAUAUUGGCAAGAACACCAGUGGCGAAGGCGGCUUACUGGUCCGGUUCUGACGCUGAGGCGCGAAAGCGUGGGGAGCAAACAGG
rnacentral:rRNA from 1 species